GCAGAAUCAAACACACUGAAGAUACUCAAGAACUAACAGAGUUAAAUGAAGAAAAUUAGGAGAAUGAAGAAUCGAUUGAAGUUGAGGAGAGAAAUCAUGUCAAAAGUAGAGAAAAACCUUUGAGUUGCUCUGAAACUAAACAGAAAGAUUUAAAGAAAA